rnacentral:lncRNA from 1 species
AAUAUUUCAUCCUUACCUUCCAUAGUGAAAAAUCUCCCGUGCCAUCAAAGACAGCCACUUCAUGCCUGACGGUGGUGGAGUGAGAGACAGAUACCGGAUCAUUAGCCAUUGAGAAACUUGGUUUCUUAUCACCAGCCAUCCAAGAGCUCUGAUACCAAUUGUUGUAGAAACGCGCACCGGAUUGGAUCGAUCUGGGCUUGUGAUCUAAUAUCUAAUUUCUUUGAGACAAAUCACCAAACACAUUGCAGGCAUAAAUAAACAAAGACAAAGAACCAAGAUUUACGUGGUUCGGCACAAAAGGCCUACAUCCACGGAGAGGAGGAGCAAUCCACUAUAUAUCCAUCCCGAAAUUUAGGUACAAUAUGAGGUAUAAAAUACCUUUUUCCGAAAUCAACAAGAAGGCAACAAAAUAUCGAAUAUAAGGCAACCAAGAUCCAAUAGGAUCAACCAAUCUCAGCCUCGGCAAUAGAUCAAGAUAAAACAAUACCUGAGAUGAAGAUACCUUCCUCAACCCUCGGCAAAAAAUCAAGAUGAUACCUCCUUACCAGCUGUAGCAGCACAAGGUGUCCGUGAAACCGAGAAAGAAGAAGACAGGUAAAUCACCAACUGAAGGCCAACAGAAGAAAGCCAGAAAGCAACCCGCACACGAGGCACGGCCGAGAGAUCGCCCAGAGAACAGGCCAGCACCGAAGCACAAGCAAGAGAGAUCGACCAGAGAACAGAACCCGCGCAUAAGAGAGGCACAGGUUAGAGAUCGGCCAGAGAACAGGACCUGCGCACAAGAGGCACAGGUGAGAGGUCGGCUCACAGGUGAGAGGUCGACCCGAGAACAGAACCCGCGCACAAGAGGCACAGGUUAGAAAAAAUCCCGCACAAGAAACCCUAGAAAAAUCUCCGCCCGAUCUUACCUCCGUUCUACCAAGAAAGGAUGCCAGUGGCCUCCUUAUAAAGGAAGAAAGCCUUCUUAAAAAAUAGAGUUUGAGUCGAUGUAGUAUUCCCAAGUGUCACGGGAGAUGGAUAUGAUUUGGAGCCAAAUAUAACAGUGGCAUUUAACUAUCCAUUAGAAAUAUACUCUCUUUAUUUCAUAUGCCAAAAAUCCAUUAGACAAAAAACUAAGGAAUGUUUCUCUCGGGCUUAUGGGGUAUGCCACUUUUUAUGAGGGGCCUUACAUUGCUUAAUGGAAAUGGGAGCCUCCAAGGUUUAAUACUAUGAGUAGUCAUCUCCUCACACAUACAGUGGGAUGGCUUGUUCUGCAAGUAGUACAAUUGUUUCUGAUAAGUCCUGGCUAUAUAUGUAGUUUCAGCCACCUUGUUAAUAGAAUUAUUUGCUCUGUGGUCUCCAAAUGCAACUCCUUGCUUUGCGGAUCCCUAGUUAUUCUUCUUAACUAUUGAUCUUUGCUCUCCAAAGGCUAAUCUGUUGUUGUAGUCACUUGCCAUUUGUAAAUGGUUCUCUUUGAUAAAUCACAACUAAGU